UGUUCUGAAAGAGCUGCAAAACCUGGACCCCUACAAAUCAGCUGGACUAGACAACCUGGACCCCUACAAAUCAGCUGGACUAGACAACCUGGACCCCUACAACUCAGCUGGACUAGACAACCUGGACCCCUACAACUCAGUUGGACUAGACAACCUGGACCCCUACAACUCAGCUGGACUAGACAACCUGGACCCCUACAACUCAGCUGGACUAGACAACCUGGACCCUACAAAUCAGCUGGACUAGACAACCUGGACCCCUACAAAUCAGCUGGACUAGACAACCUGGACCCCUACAACUCAGCUGGACUAGACAACCUGGACCCCUACAACUCAGCUGGACUAGACAACCUGGACCCCUACAACUCAGCUGGACUAGACAAUCUGGACCCCUACAACUCAGCUGGACUAGACAACCUGGACCCCUACAACUCAGCUGGACUAGACAACCUGGACCCCUACAAAUCAGCUGGACUAGACAACCUGGACCCCUACAACUCAGCUGGACUAGACAACCUGGACCCCUACAACUCAGCUGGACUAGACAAUCUGGACCCCUACAAAUCAGCUGGACUAGACAACCUGGACCCCUACAAAUCAGCUGGACUAGAUAACCUGGACCCCUACAACUCAGCUGGACUAGACAACCUGGACCCCUACAACUCAGCUGGACUAGAUAACCUGGACCCCUACAACUCAGCUGGACUAGACAACCUGGACCCCUACAACUCAGCUGGACUAGACAACCUGGACCCCUACAACUCAGCUGGACUAGACAACCUGGACCCCUACAAAUCAGCUGGACUAGACAACCUGGACCCCUACAAAUCAGCUGGACUAGACAACCUGGACCCCUACAAAUCAGCUGGACUAGACAAUCUGGACCCCUACAACUCAGCUGGACUAGACAAUCUGGACCCCUACAACUCAGCUGGACUAGACAACCUGGACCCCUACAAAUCAGCUGGACUAGACAAUCUGGACCCCUACAAAUCAGCUGGACUAGACAAUCUGGACCCUCUCUUUCUAAACAUAUCACCACCAUUGUUGCAACCCCUAUUACUAGUCUGUUCAACCUCUCUUUCGUAUCGUCUGAGAUCUCCAAACAUUGGAAAGGUGCCGCGGUCAUCCCCCUCUUCAAAGGGGGUGACACUCUAG
rnacentral:lncRNA from 8 species